UGGGGCAGGCGCGCUCCGGGGCCCACGAGAAGGGGGCGGAGCGCGAGGAAGCGGCGGCGGUUUCCUUCGAAGAAAGGGGGACCCGGCGAGGCGCGUUGUAGGGAAACCGUUAGCAUGCCUCCGGUCCUUCUCUCGGGAGCACUGGGCUGAGCCAGGACUAGGUUGGCACCAGGGCCCAAGCUGCCUGUGACGGGCAG
rnacentral:lncRNA from 1 species